AGAAAGAGUGUAGCGAAAUAACCAAAAUUGGGGAUAAACUGAACUAAAUAUUUACAGAAAAAAGAAACAAAGAAGAAAAAGAACAAAUGACGUCGUCAUCUUCGAAAUUCAGGUUAUCUCGUCUUGCGCGUUGGAGGAGGAUUUUCCACCGUUAUCCCCAUCGGUUAAAUGGUUAAAGAGGAGCACGUAGGAAGGUCCUUUGGAGAAUACAAGCUCAACCACUCCCAUUCCGUGGCGUGGUACCGUGGUGCCACGCCAGACCACACCGCGCGUAGUCGUGUCCUCGUCUGUAAAAAUGAUCCACACACGCAAAUCCGAUGCGGCGGCGAUGCACGCGGUGCGUUCGGUCGCACGCCGGUGAAGAGGUCAACGAUUACUAUGGCUGACCGAGGUCUUCCAACGAAUAAAAUACUUUCUCGUGGAGAGACCAGGAGAGCGACAACGGUUUUAACGGAAUCCAAAGAAACGAGGAGAUGUGAAUGCCACGAAGAAGAAGAAGAAGAAGAAGCUGCGUAUGAAGCACGGAGUAACAAGGCAAAGAGCAAUAAGUCGUUGUUCGUGGUGGUGUCAUAACGCGCUGUACAAUGACGUCUCGCUACACACCACACCACCACUUGUAGUUCCUUAAUGACUCGGAAUGCCGACUCUCUGUUCGAAGGGAGUGAAAGUCGCGGUUGAACGCGGCCCUCGCGAUAUCUACGCUGCUGUUAUUGCUGUUAUUGCUGUUAUUGCUGCUACCGCCUCAAGGAGGAUAUCGCUUCACUUCGCCGCGUGUAUCUUCUCUCAGUGAACCGAGACACGUGUCUUGCUACGUCUAACGAGGUUGAUACGAAGAGCAUCGAUCAUCCGCCUGUGGAAUAGACGUCUUACAAACUGGCCUGAUAAAUAGAAAACGCAACGCGCAUCGACGAGCGCGCGUUACAACGUUAUCCAACCAGGUAUCUGGUACACACCGUAUCAGUGCUCGUUAAUCGGAACACAAAGUUUCCAAUCGGAAACGUCGUUGUCGUUUCUCGAUCCGGGACCGAUCGCUCGUUGAAAACGUUGAGGACGUGGACCAGCGGAGAGGAGAACGACUUACUUCGUCACCGGGACAGCGGAGACGAGGGGGGACGAUUACACGUUCUGUUAGGAGGGUAGACACGGCGAAGAGGCCAGACAAGCCUAUCACGAAACUCGCGGUCAACGACGAACGAGAGAAGGAUGAGUCACGGCUGUUCUCGCCCGUCCCACUCUUUCCAUCGUGAGGCCGAGGUUGCAGAGAAAAAGAAAGGUAGUCUGCGAAAGACGGAGCAGCGCGGCCAGAAGAUGAAGAAGGUGGCAAAGAAACGAGGAGAUUAGCCCUACGACGGGGUCUCGAGAGGCUACGGUUCUCGCCUACGCGUCGACUAGCUCGACAACCGGAGGAGCCACGACCGAGAUGAAACGAGACGGUUCAACUUCGCUACUUGGACGCAAGAAGAGAGUACAGAAAUAUCGGAUAAGGCAAGAUUAUUCUCCACUCACCUCGGCGAGAGGUUCCUCCUUGGUGACGUCUCCAUUCUUGGGUGCUUCUUCGCG